rnacentral:rRNA from 1 species
CCUACGGGAGGCAGCAGUGGGGAAUAUUGCACAAUGGGCGCAAGCCUGAUGCAGCCAUGCCGCGUGUGUGAAGAAGGCCUUCGGGUUGUAAAGCACUUUCAGCGGGGAGGAAGGCGUUAAGGUUAAUAACCUUGUCGAUUGACGUUACCCGCAGAAGAAGCACCGGCUAACUCCGUGCCAGCAGCCGCGGUAAUACGGAGGGUGCAAGCGUUAAUCGGAAUUACUGGGCGUAAAGCGCACGCAGGCGGUCUGGCAAGUCGGAUGUGAAAUCCCCGGGCUCAACCUGGGAACUGCAUUCGAAACUGGCAGGCUAGAGGCUUGUAGAGGGGGGUAAAAUUCCAGGUGUAGCGGUGAAAUGCGUAGAGGUCUGGAGGAAUACCGGGGGCGAAGGCGGCCCCCUGGACCAAGACUGACGCUCAGGUGCGAAAGCGUGGGGAGCAAACAGGAUUAGGUACCCCUGGAGUC